rnacentral:rRNA from 1 species
UACGGGGGGGGCAAGCGUUGUUCGGAAUUACUGGGCGUAAAGGGCUCGUAGGCGGCCAACUAAGUCCGACGUGAAAUCCCAAGGCUUAACCUUGGAACUGCGUCGGAUACUGGAUGGCUUGAAUUCGGGAGAGGGUAGCGGAAUUCCCGGUGUAGCGGUGAAAUGCGUAGAGACCGGGAAGAACACCAGUGGCGAAGGCGGCUACCUGGACAGGUACUGACGCUGAAGCGCGAAAGCUAGGGGAGCAAACAGG